AGUUGAAGUUUGAUUGGAAUUCUGUGACUUGUUAUUCCUUGUUCCUGCAUAACAAGUCACAGAAUUCCAAUCAAACUUCAACU
rnacentral:miRNA from 1 species